rnacentral:tRNA from 1 species
GUUGAAAUGGCUGAGAUUAAGCGAUAAAUUGUAAAUUUAUUUACGGGGUUUCCC